CAUUAAAUACUAUAUGAAGUUAAUGCAAAGAACGAUGUGUCCAAUUUUUGUAUUAGGAAUAAAAAGUCUGUGAAGCAUGUUUACUCUUUACUCAGCUCUGACAAGAUAAAUAAAACGGGAGGCUCAAUGUCGAGAAAAUGUUGUUUUCAAGAAUCAGAAGAGGGUUAGUGAAGACUAACUGAGUAACUGAAUGAGAAUGAGAAGUUUGGAAGUUUGGUGCUGGUCUACGGUAAUGCCAAGACAGUGAGGAAUGACAACUCCUCUUGUUUUGUAAAUUCAUCCGAAUUCACUUUCACACUACUGGCUAGUGCUGAUAUUGAAACCUACCUGUUGGAGAAGUCCAGAACGAGCUUCCAACUGCCUGAUGAGAGAGGCUACCACAUCUUCUACGAGAUAAUGACAACCACAAACCUAAGCUUGUUGGGGAACAAUUCUGUGAGUCAGUCUAUGUGAGGAUGUUCUUGUGAAUGGUCAUCUGCAUCAAUCAGAUGUUGGACACCAAGCAGCAAGGGAACUUCUACAUUGGUGUGCUUGACAUUGCUGGUUUUGAGAUCUUGAACAUCUACAGUAUAACAGCAUGUGCAUCAACUUCACCAAUGAGAAACUGCAACAGUUCUUCAACCACACCAUGUUCGUCCUGGAGCAAGAGUAGUACAAGAAAGAGGGCAUCAUCUGGGAGUUCAUUGACUUUGGCAUGGACUUGGCUGCCUGCAUUGAGCUUAUUGAGAAGCCAAGGGCAUUUUCUCCAUCCUUGAAGAGGAAUGCAUGUUCCCCAAGGCUUCAGAUGCUUCCUUCAAGAACAAGCUGUAUGACCAGCAUCUUGGUAAGACCAAGGCAUUUGAGAAGCCUAAACCAGCCAAGGGCAAGGCCGAGGCCCUCUUCUCCCUGGUCCACUAUGCUGGUACAGUGGACUACUAUAUCAUUGGCUGGAAAUAACAAGGAUUCCCUGAACGACUCUUUUUCAGUCUGAUAUGGAAAGAGGGGGGUGUCUUUGUGAAGGAGAAUUCCUGAUUGGUCAGUUACUCCCCACCUGGGCGUCAUCCUGAGAUUCGCUUACAGGUGUGAAGUGGUUGGUGGUUUUUUUAAUUCAAUAUUUAAAAUGUUCAUGGAUCGCUUAUACUUCAAAACAUAACAAUACAACAUUCAUAAAUGGUUUUGUUAGUAUGAUACCAUUUUUGGGAUCUAAAAUUGACUAACGCAACUCUACCUGAAGGGAAGUUAUAAUCAAACAUCAAUUAAACAACGUUCUAAGUAAAUGAGAAAAGCACACAUUUUAACACACUAUUGGCUGAGUAGAAGUGCAUCAUCAUAGUCUUUCUGCAGGUUGAAUUUCUUCAGCUGCCAUAGGAAGUACAU